CUGGCUCAGGACGAACGCUGGCGGCGUGCUUAACACAUGCAAGUCGAACGGAAAGGCCCCUUCGGGGGGUGCUCGAGUGGCGAACGGGUGAGUAACACGUGGGUGAUCUGCCUUGCACUUCGGGAUAAGCCUGGGAAACCGGGUCUAAUACCGGAUAGGACCGCGCCUCGCAUGGGGUGUGGUGGAAAGCGUUAUGCAGCGGUGUGAGAUGGGCCCGCGGCCUAUCAGCUUGUUGGUGGGGUAAUGGCCUACCAAGGCGGCGACGGGUAGCCGGCCUGAGAGGGCGACCGGCCACACUGGGACUGAGACACGGCCCAGACUCCUACGGGAGGCAGCAGUGGGGAAUAUUGGACAAUGGGGGCAACCCUGAUCCAGCGACGCCCGCGUGAGUGAAGAAGUAUUUCGGUAUGUAAAGCUCUAUCAGCAGGGAAGAAAGAGAACGUAAGUUCUCGUGACGGUACCUGACUAAGAAGCCCCGGCUAACUACGUGCCAGCAGCCGC
rnacentral:rRNA from 1 species